CAAGUGAUUCUCGUGCCUCAGCCUCCCGAGUACCUGGGAUUACAGGCACAUGCCACUAUGCCUGCUUAAUUUUUGUACAUUUUGUAGAAAUGAGGUUUGGCCAUGUUGGUCAGGCUGGUCUCUAACUCCUGAGCUCAAGUCAGUGACCUGCCUCGGCCACCCAAAGUGCUGGAACUGCAGGCAUGAGCCAUCGCAUCCAGCCAACAAUUCAUAAGUUUUAAAAUGCACGCUAUUCUGAGUAUUGCGAUGAAAUCUCCAGCCCUUCUGCCCAGAAUAUGAAUCAAUCCUUUGUCCAGAGCAUCCACAUUGUCUAUGCUUCCUACCUAAUAGUCACUUAGUAUCCAUCUCAGUGAUCAAAUCAACCUUCAGUUUUGCAGUGUUUGUUUUCAAGUAACCCUUAUUUUACUUAACAAUGGCCCUAAACCACAAGAGUAGUGACGUUGGC
rnacentral:lncRNA from 10 species